CCUCGACAUUCAUUGAUCCUUCAUGGUACUUUGACAUUGGGGUGACUGAUCAUGUCUCUCUUGAUAUCUCAAAGCUUAACAUUGCAGAUGCGUACAUUGGGAGUGACAAACUUCAAGUAGGCAAUGGUAAAAAUUUACAUAUUUCUCAUGUUGGAUCUUCUUCUUUGCCUAAUCUCAAAUUACCAAAUGUGCUAAUUGUUCCUGCACUCACUAAAAAUCUUCUUAGUGUGUCCAAACUAACUGAUGAUAAUGAUGUUUACAUAGAGUUUUGGCCUAAAUCUUGUUCUGUUAAGACAUUUAAGUGCAAAACACCGCUCCAAGGGGAUAAAAAGGAAGGUUUAUAUCGAUUACCAUGUCGCAUUUUCCGUUCUUGACCAAAAGCUCUCAAUAACAUUCGAGUCUCUCUCAAUGGAUGGCAUAAGAGGGUGGCUCACCCACACGAACAACUUCUUCGUCGUUUAGUUUCUAUUUUUAAUCUUCCUGUUUCAACUAAUAACUUUCCUAAUGUUUGUGACUCUUGUCAAUUAGGAAAAAGUCAUAGGUUGCAUCUUCCAAUUUCACAUGUAACCUCUUUAAAACCUUUUGAAUUGGUUUACUCUGAUGUUUGGGGGCCCGCUCCAGUUUUCUCAAUGAACGUCAAUCGAUAUUUUGUUUUGUUUAUGGAUGAUUGUUCUAAAUUUAUAUGAGUUUAUUUCCUUUCCCACAAAUCACAAGUUUACUCAACCUUUUUACAAUUUCGCAAAAUGGUCAAAACUCAGUUUUAAUGUGAUAUAAAAAGCCUACAAAGUGACUGGGGAAGAGAGUAUCGUAAUGUUUCUACCUUCCUCAAGUCUCAUGGUAUCAUGCAUUGAGUCUCUUGCCCUUAUAUACAAGAACAAAAUAGGGCCAUUGAAAAGACGGAAUCGAAUCAUUGUGGAAAAACGUCUCACCUUGUUAGCACAAUCCUUUAUUCCUCAUGUUUUUUUGGGAACAUGCUUUCAAAACUGCCACUUAUCUAAACAAUACUAUUACCCCUAUUUUAAACUACGAGUCCCCAUACCAACGCUUGUAUAAAAAAAUUCCAGAUUAUGCUUUUUUUAAAAUGUUUGGUUGCUUGUGCUAUCUGUAUUUACAUCUUUAAAUUCCUCACAAAAUAUAUUUUCUUUCUAAACCGUGCAUUUUUUUAGGAUAUAGUGCUUCCCACAAAGGGUACAUCUGUUAUCAUCCACCAACAUCAAAAAUAUACAUCUACAUACAUGUAAUUUUUGAUGAAGUUGUAUUUCCAUACGUGCCUUCAUCGCCUACUCAAACUAAGGCCACUUCUUUUAAUACGAACUCUUUGCCAAAUAUUGUUGCUCACAUACCAAGCCCACAUCCUGCAAUUAACACUGGCCCAUCUACACAUCCACCUAUAUCUUCUCCUUCUACUUCUCUCGAAAGCCCAAUCAUCCAAAGCCCACAUCCUAACUCAUCCCAAAACCCUAUCACUCCAACCAACCAGACAUCAAUGACUUCAGUUGUUCCUUCUCCUUCCGCUAUUCUUUCUACUAUCUCUUCUCCAACUCGUGCCAUACCAUCCUUUUUCCGUCCUUCUGAUACAACUCAGCAUCCCAUGGUUACUAGGGCCCGUACAAAUUCGCUUAAACCUAAGAUGUUUCAUACCGCUAUUUCAUCCCCCUAUGCCAUCGAACCUUCUAAUUUUUCUCAAGCAAUUAAGCAUAAAUGAUGACACGAUGUGAUGAAAGUAGAGUAUGAGGCUCUCAUGAAAAAUCAUACUUGGUCCAUUGUUGAAUGUCCCACUAAUUCUAAUGUUGUUGGUUGUAAGUGGAUCUACAAAGUACAGAAAAAUUCUAAUGGGACAAUUGCAAAACACGAGGCACGACUAGUGGCACAAGGUUAGGUUUCAGUCAAGAGGCAGGGCUUGAUUUCUUUGACACAUUCAACCCUGUUAUCAAACCUACAACAAUCAGACUAGUUCUCUCUAUUGCCCUUUCUAGCGGCUGGAGAAUUCGGCAAAUAGACAUCAACAAUGCAUUCUUAAAUGGGGACUUAUUUGAAGAGGUGUACAUGAAGCAACCAAAAGGUUGUGAAGAUCAAUCUCGACCUAAUCACGUGUGUCGCUUACACAAGGUUUUGUACGGCCUUAAACAAGCUCCAAGUGCUUGGUUCAAUAAGCUCAAAAGCUAUUUAGUCACACAGAGGUUUCGAGCAUGUCAAUCAGAUACCUAUAUGUUUGUUCAUAUUACACCAAAAUCUACUAUAUAUGUCUUAGUAUAUGUUGAUGACCUAAUUGUUACAGGUACUGAUGAUGUCAAACUAAACCAGUUCAUCACUGAUUUAAAUCAGAUGUUCUCUCUCAAGGAUCUUGGCGAUUUGAACGUCUUUCUUGGCUUACAGAUUCAAAAGUCAAAAUCCGGUCUUACCCUCUCCCAACAGUCCUACAUUAAACAUAUUCUCAAUCGCUGCAAUAUGUCUCUGUCAUCUCUAAUAUCUACUCCUGUUGAUCCAUAUAAAUGUCUUACUAAAGUUGGAGAUCUUUUUCAUGAUCCUAAACUUUAUCGCCAAACUGUUGGUUCUCUAUAGUAUGCUACUAUUACAAGAACGGAUAUCGCCUACUCUGUGAAUCGUGUUUGUCAAUUCAUGCACUGUCCGACAAAUAAUCACUGUUAAGCAGUAAAGCGAAUUCUACGCUAUCUAAAUGGGACAAUUCAUUACUGUUUGCAUUUUUCCCCAACCAAUGCAAAAGGACUUGAUGUGUUUUCUGAUUCUGGGUGGAAUCCUGACCUUGAUGACAACCGAUCUCAAUAUGGCUUUGCUAUUUUCCACGGUUCCAAUAUCAUAAGCUAGAGCUCUCACAAACAACGUGUUGUUGCCCGCUCCAGCAUAGAGGUUGAAUACAAAUCCUUGGCCUACACUACAACAGAAUUAAUGUGGCUAAAGCAACUCAUCACAAACCUUCAUGUACCUAUUACAACACCUCAAUAUACAUGCGUGUAUAAAUGUGUAUCUAGUCAAAGUAUAUAGUCAAUAAUCAAUAGUCUUAGCGUAUGUAUAGGAGAGUAUUUCUAUUCCUCAAUUNNNNNNNNNNNNNNNNNNNNNNNNNNNNNNNNNNNNNNNNNNNNNNNNNNNNNNNNNNNNNNNNNNNNNNNNNNNNNNNNNNNNNNNNNNNNUAUAUAUAUAUAUAUAUAUAUAUACACACACACACACACACACUCUCUCUAUUUUUGUAUCAUACAUACAGUUUACAACAUUAUAGGAUUAAGGGCUAAAAUGUAUUUUACUUUAUAUUAAUUCCUUGAUAUUUUUAUUUAAUAUAUAAAAUAUAAAUAUAAGUUUUAAUUAAUUAAUUAAUGCAAUUUAAAUUUUCGGUUCUUGGCCUAAAGUUUAUGAGACCAAAACUCAAACCAAAAACCAAAUUCAAAAUUCGGAUUGAAUAUGGUUUGGUUUGAAAUCGAUCUCUGUUGGAUUUGGUUUUCGAGUUUUUUGAUUCCGGACUAAAUAAUUCCCAACACUAAUUGGGUGGAUGUGUGUUUUUGAUUUUUAUGUAAAUGACCAUAUACGAUAAGGGUGAAGGGGGAUUGCUAGGCAAACUACCCCUGGGGUGAAACUCGAAGGGAAAAUGGUUCAAUCGAUGGAAAAGAUGGCGAAGAGGCGUCGGUCUCCAGCGAUUUCAGGUACAUGGACAGAGGUCUGCUCCGACAGCUUUCUGUUCUUCUUCUUCUGGUUCGCUAAUCCAACAAAUAAUGGGAAAUAAUGGCAACACAAGAUUGAAAUUGGGAAGUGUUUGGUUUUUUUGUUUGUCAGGAAAGGAGAAUGACAAAUGAGGCUAUGAUUGUGGCUAACAGGUAACCUUCUUGAUUCCUUCAUUUUUUUUUCUUUUGUUUUUCUUGACAUAAUCGAUAUACCUAAGUGGUUGUUUGAGGUUUGGUUUCUGAUGGAAAACUGCAAGGGAGAUGGAGGUAUUUGUAGUGUAGUGUUAGAGUAUUCUAACAAGUCGAAGAAGAAGUGCACGCAACCUGUUCAAUUUGAUGUGCAGCAACAAGGAAGAAGAAGAGAGAAGUGAUGUUGGUAAUUGACAGCUUACAAUGACAAAGGAAACACAGGAAACACGUUUCCUUUGUGUGGAUUUGUUAAAAAAAGAUUUGUUUAUUUUGUGUGCAGUUUGGGUUUAUGUGUGGUUUUGGUUUGUAAGAAGUAAUGGUUGUCUAAUUCUUUUUCUUUCUAUUUGGUAGUUUAAAGAAAUGAAUUUGGGGGUAUAUUGAUGUAUAUUCAUGUAAUAUACAUAUAUGUAUUUAUUUAGGAACUUAUAAACAAUUUCCUUAUAUAU
rnacentral:lncRNA from 1 species